rnacentral:tRNA from 1 species
GCGUUAUUAGUGUUAGCGGUCCAGCACUCCGUCCUUCCAAGUCGGAAGCAUCGGUUCGAAUCCGAUAUAACGCUCCA